rnacentral:rRNA from 1 species
CCUACUUUUCGCAGCAUUUGCGGAUAUUGCACAAUGGGGGAAACCCUGAUGCCUCUCCUCCUCUUUCUUUCCUCCUUCUUUCGGUAUGUAAAGCUCUAUCAGCAGGGAAUAAAAUGACAGUACCUGACCAAGAAGCCCCGGCUAACUACGUGCCAGCAGCCUCUUUAAUACGUAGGGGGCAAGCGUUAUCCGGAUUUACUGGGUGUAAAUUUAGCGUAGACGGUUAUGUAAUUCUGGAGUGAAAGCCCGGGGCCCAACCCCGGGACUGCUUGGGAAACUGUGUAACUGGAGUACAGGAGGGGCAG